rnacentral:rRNA from 1 species
GACAGAGGGUGCAAACGUUGUUCGGAAUUACUGGGCGUAAAGCGCGUGUAGGCGGCUAAGUAAGUCGGGCGUGAAAUCCCACGGCUCAACCAUGGAAGUGCACUCGAAACUGCAUAGCUAGAGUCCUGGAGAGGAAGGUGGAAUGCUUGGUGUAGAGGUGAAAUUCGUAGAUAUCAAGCGGAACACCGGUGGCGAAGGCGGCCUUCUGGACAGUGACUGACGCUGAGACGCGAAAGCGUGGGGAGCAAACAGG